CUGCAGAGCGCUCCCGUGGAUGUGGAUGGACACCCUCAAAGCCCUCAGCCAGCCCUGACGGACGUUUAGCUUCAGAAGUGGCCUGGGAAGGAGCUGGACACCCCAUCUCAGCACCACCAUUUCUAGGAAACGGAGCUGAGGCUGAUCUGUGAUUAAGAAUGGAAUCGCUCCAACUUUUUGCGAGGCCGUGGCAGAUGCAGGGAGGACGCCGGCCUGGGACCUGAGGCCCGCCGGCCCAGUACCUGCAGGAGCUGGUUCUGGCCGCCGUUGGACUGCUGGCACCAGGUGACCAUCUGGUCCGGGAAGAAGUUCUGCAGAAGCGGGAACACAGACGCCAAAGAGGGUCACCAGGUGAGUAAGCUCUCCCUCUGCUGAGUCUCGGCCGAUCCGCUGCGAGGCCGGAGCCUGCGCGCCUAACCCCCCUCCCCGUGGAGAAGGCGCUGCCUUGGCCGAGCAGGCAGAGUCCCGCCGGGCGGAGCGUGAGCACGAGGGAAGGUGCUUCGCUACACCGCGACCCCAAGGCCCACUGCCCGCCGCCCUGGGUCCCAGCUCCGCUCCGCUCUGCUCCUACGAAAUCCAAGUGCCGAUGGCAGGACCCGAGUUCCACCCCCAAGCCGAGGAGACAGGACUCACGGUGGGGUUUUUGAAGAACUCGUAUUUGCCAUAAUUCUUCCUGAAUAAGAAUUUGCUUUCGCCGGCCAUGGUGCUGUCCACCUGGGCCACCAGCUCAUGGUCUUCCAAGCAGCGCUCUGGGGAGGAAAACGUUGCGUGUGAGAAGGGAGCGGACACGCAGGACCUUAAAGGCAGCUUUACACACAGCCACGCCAUCUGGCUGGCUCUCCUGCCACGGACAUGGCAAGUGAGCGAAGAGGUGGAUCGGAGCUCCAUGCACAUCUCCCUCGAACGCUCUUCCGAGCGCGGGAGGUGGUGAGACAUGGACGGGGGGCUUCCUCUCCACGCGGCGCUGACACCAAGGGAGGAAGAGAGUCACACCCUCCCAGCAAAGGCUGUGCCUCAAGUCAGAGGUGCCGGCUCUUGCUGAGCACCGGCCACCACAGCUGGAGCACAGACCGCAGAGCACGGCCCUGGGUCCCGUCCUCACCGAAGAUUUUAACAUCCUGCAACAGACGGGGCUCAGUGAGCAGCUGCAGGGAGUGGCUUGUCUGUCUGAUCUCCACUGUUAAAACUUUUGACAGAGGAAAGCUAACGCCACGCCGUGGGCCCCUGGCGCUCGGAGCCCGUUAGAGGUGCUGCCGCCAUGGAGCCUACCAGGGCAUUUCCCCUGCUUCUGAAGAGACCGCGCAGGCCGUCUGAAAAAGCUAGUUCUGGUUUUAAAUGAGUUAUGGAAAAGUCAACUUGAAAGGUGGGCUUAGUAAGAAAUAA